GAGACUGAACAGGGAACCAGGGAGCCUGUGCAGAACUGAUGUAGGCCCUCUGCGUAUAUGUGACAGUUGUGUAGCUUGGUCUCGUGGGACUCCUAACAGUGGGAGCAGGGAUUGUCUCUCACUCUUUCCUGGCUUUUGGGAACCUGCUCGUUAUGCUGGAUUGCCUUGCCCACCUUUACUGUAUAAAACCAGUACACAAGGCAAGGCGCUUUGUCUUACUGCGACUUGAUAUGCCAUGGGAGACCUGCCCUCUUCUGAAUAGAAAAGGAAGAUAAGUGGAUCAGGAAGAGAGUUUGCUUCUCUGUUGCUGUGAUUAAACACUGACCAACACUAACUCAGGGAAGGAAAGAUUUGUCUUACAACUGCCAGGUCCCAAUUUGUCCUUGAGGGAAGUCCGGGCAAGAAUUCAAAAAUUCCUGGAUGAUUAUUAAAGAACAACUUGAAGUGAGGGACCCACUCUGGACAUGAAUAGCACCAUCCCAUGGACUGGAUCCUGGUGAUAAUUCAAAUAGGAAAACAAAGAAGCCUGGUAACAGCCAUUCUCUCUCUGUGAGACUGCACAGCCCCUGCUACUCUCUCCUGAUGCCUCAGUAGUCUGCUUUGGCUCAGGAUUAAAGCAGUCAUCCACUCCAUCCGGAACAGAAUCUUCUGAAACUAGUAAAACCAAAUCCUUCAUUUCUUAAGUCGUUCCUUUCUGCAUGUGUCAAAUCAAUGAAAAGUUAGCCUGAUAUUCCGUGGGACUCCCAACAAGGAGUGUGGGACUGUCUCUGACUCUUUUGCCUGCACUUGGA